UACGUAGGGUGCGAGCGUUGUCCGGAAUUACUGGGCGUAAAGAGCUCGUAGGUGGUUUGUCGCGUUGUUCGUGAAAACUCACAACUCAAUUGUGGGCGUGCGGGCGAUACGGGCAGACUGGAGUACUGCAGGGGAGACUGGAAUUCCUGGUGUAGCGGUGGAAUGCGCAGAUAUCAGGAGGAACACCGGUGGCGAAGGCGGGUCUCUGGGCCGAAACUGACGCUGGAGGAGCGAAAGCGUGGGGAGCGAACAGG
rnacentral:rRNA from 1 species